rnacentral:rRNA from 1 species
AUGAAACCUGUAAAUGCAAAUGAUCCCAUUGAUGUGUUAAAUAUUAAACUGAAGAGAUUCAAGAAGUUUUUCAAAGGAUGGGGAUCUAACUUGUUUGGGAAAUCUAGAAAGAGAAGGAGAGAACUUAGAGAGGAUCUAGAGCAUCUAGAAAAACUAGAAGAAACAUAUGUACUUUCUCCUGAAUUAUAUUGUAAGAAAGUUGAUAUUUUGGUGGAAAUAUAUAGUCUCCUGGUGGAAGAGGAGAUUGCCUGGAUUCAAAAAUCUCAUGAAAACUGGUUGUUGAAAGGGGACAUAAAUACUGACUAUUUCCACAAAAUAGUUAAUGGGAGAAGGAGGAGGAAUACUAUUUUCUCACUUAGUUGUGGAGAUGAAGUGAUAGAGGGGACCAAAAAUCUUUUGAAACAUGCAAUUGAGUUCUAUAAGGACCUCUUUGGGCCUGCAGCUGGAAAUUUAUGCAAGUUGAGGGAGGAUAUGUGGGAAUCAAAAGAAAAAUUAACAGAUAUUGACAAUUUUAUUCUUACUAGGCCCUUUUCUGAAACAGAGAUAAAAUAUGCUCUCUUCUAUAUGAAACCAAACAAAUCACCAGGCCCAGAUAAUAUCCCCAUCAAAUUUUUCCAACACUGCAGGGAAAUAGUGAAAAAUGAAGUGAUACUUCUAUUUGAGUGGUUUCAUGGCAACAAGCUAGAUGUGUAA